GUCAUACUAGCUGCUAUACCAAUCUUUCCCUUACUACUCAAUUGUCCCUAAGCAGGGUAGGGUCAGGUACCUGAAGUGUGGGGGUCACCAUCAUUAGGACAAGUGCUCCAGUGACACACCAAACAGCCAAGAAACAGAUUAUUUUAGGGGUGCGUCUUAUGGUCAGGUGCGUCUUAUGGAAAGAAAAAUACGAUGAUCCAGAGCUACAUUGAUUCCCCAAAGCUCAAAUCCCUUUAGUCCAAAUCCUGAAUCAGUAUUGUCAGUGAUCAUCCAUUGGGAUAGUAGUCAUAGAGAAUGGAAUGCGAGACAUCGUCAGUGAAGUAAUGGAGAGUCAAAUGCAGUAGAU